GACGUAGGGGGCCAGCGUUGCUCGGAAUUACUGGGCGUAAAGGGUCCGUAGGCGGUGCGGUAAGUCGGGAGUGAAAUCUCUGGGCUUAACUCAGAGGCUGCUUCCGAAACUACCGUGCUAGAGUGCGAGAGAGGCAAGUGGAAUUGCGGGUGUAGCGGUGAAAUGCGUAGAUAUCCGCAGGAACAUCCGAGGCGAAAGCGGCUCGCUGGAUCGCAACUGACGCUGAGGGACGAAAGCUAGGGGAGCAAACAGG
rnacentral:rRNA from 1 species